GACAGAGGGUGCAAACGUUGCUCGGAAUCACUGGGCGUAAAGGGCGUGUAGGCGGGAAGUAAAGUCAGAUGUGAAAUCCCUGGGCUCAACCCCAGGAACUGCAUUUGAAACUCACUUUCUUGAGUACCGGAGAGGAAGGUGGAAUACCUGGUGUAGAGGUGAAAUUCGUAGAUAUCAGGUGGAACACCAGUGGCGAAGGCGGCCUUCUGGACGGUAACUGACGCUGAGACGCGAAAGCGUGGGGAGCAAACAGG
rnacentral:rRNA from 1 species